rnacentral:rRNA from 1 species
UACGGAGGAUUCGAGCGUUACCCGGAUUUAUUGGGUUUAAAGGGUGCGUAGGCGGUCGGAUAAGUUAGAGGUGAAAUCCCGGGGCUCAACUUCGGAAUUGCCUCUGAUACUGUUCGGCUAGAGAGUAGUUGCGGUAGGCGGAAUGUAUGGUGUAGCGGUGAAAUGCUUAGAGAUCAUACAGAACACCGAUUGCGAAGGCAGCUUACCAAGCUACUUCUGACGUUGAGGCACGAAAGCGUGGGGAGCAAACAGG